UGAGUAACCUGCCCUUCACUCUGGGAUAACUCCGGGGAAACCGGGGCUAAUACUGGAUACGACUCGAACAGGCAUCUGUAUCGGGUGGAAAGAUUUAUUGGUGGAGGAUGGACUCGCGGCCUAUCAGCUUGUUGGUGAGGUAAUGGCUCACCAAGGCGACGACGGGUAGCCGGCCUGAGAGGGCGAUCGGCCACACUGGGACUGAGACACGGCCCAGACUCCUACGGGAGCA
rnacentral:rRNA from 1 species